GAACUGCUGAAGAGUCCCAAAUUCGGACGAAACAGCUGUCCAGUAC
rnacentral:hammerhead_ribozyme from 1 species